UACGUAGGGGGCAAGCGUUGUCCGGAUUCAUUGGGCGUAAAGAGCGUGUAGGCGGCCAGGUAGGUCGGUUGUGAAAACUGGAGGCUCAACCUUCAGACGUCGACCGAAACCAUCUGGCUAGAGUCCGGGAGAGGAGAGUGGAAUUCCUGGUGUAGCGGUGAAAUGUGCAGAUAUCAGGAAGAACACCCGUGGCGAAGGCGGCUUUCUGGGACGGUACUGACGCUGAGACGCGAAAGCGUGGGGAGCGAACAGG
rnacentral:rRNA from 1 species